GACGAACGCUGGCGGCGUGCUUAACACAUGCAAGUCGAACGCUGAAGCUCAGCUUUUGUUGGGUGGAUGAGUGGCGAGCGGGUGAGUAACACGUGAGUAACCUGCCCCUUUCUUUGGGAUAACGCCCGGAAACGGGUGCUAAUACUGGAUAUUCACUGGUCUUCGCCUGGGGGCUGGUGGAAAGGGCUGUUCUGGUGGGGGGUGGGCUAGUGGCCUAUCUGCUUGUUGGUGGGGUGAUGGGCUACCAAUGCUUUGACGGGUAGCCGGCCUGAGCGGGUGAGCGGUCACAUUGGCACUGAGAUGCGGCCCAGACUAGUACGGGGGGGGGAAGUGGGGAAUAUUGCACAAUGGGCGAAAGAGUGAUGCAGCGACGCCGCGUGAGGGAUGGAGGCCUUCGGGUUGUGAACCUCUUUCGCUCAUGGUCAGGCCGCAACAAUGGUUGUGGUGAGGGUAGUGGGUAAAGAAGCGCCGGCUAACUACGUG
rnacentral:rRNA from 1 species